CAAUCAUAAAAAUAUGAACAGAAAACAAAUACUCUGGAUUUGCAUGCCAAAUUAUAGUAUUAUCAAUACAUAAAAGUGCAAAAAUAAACUUACAUUCUUUUAGAAAAUUUGUCAUAAUACAUCAAAAAUUUACCACUCUUUUUGUUAUUUGUAAGUCUAAGAGAUGAAACAAGAGAGUUCAAUUCAACAAGAAAAAGGGGGAGAGACAAAGGAGAUUUAAGCCAUUUUUGCUUAAGAAUGAAGAAUUUUGCAUUCAGUAUAAGAAAAUUAACAACAUAUUCAGUAGAUAAUAGCUUUGGAUUUUCAUAAUAAAAAAUAACAUCUUUGAGGACAAAGGUAUGGGACACAUUUGUAAAAUGUGUAUAAAAAUAUAGGUGCUCAAGUCAACCCAUAAUUUGUUGGAACACCACAAUCAAAAAACAAAUGGGCAGCUGUGAAGGAUGCACCCUCCGAAGAUCUUAUUCCAAGGUUGAUUGCGUCACUGCAGCGCAACGAAGGCUGACGUAAUUCACAAGCCACGUCAAAUGCACACUCCGUUUCCCAGGAAAAUGAAGUGUACAUCUGAUGGACACUUCUCACCCUACCAUAUCCCAGAAUAUCUUGUGUGCAGAUGACGAUGGUGUUUAUUUCAAAGAACACAGAGGAUGAGAGUUCUGUGGGGGAUUCACAUUGAUCUUACUAUUCUGGAGAAAAUGAGCCUGAUGGGGAAAGACAAAGCAAGCAAGAUAAUACACACAUUUUUGCUGACAUUCUUUGCGCUGUUGUUGUUAACAGGGAUGGUUUAUUUGCUUUGCCUUAGGAUUGCAAGUGUCCUGGGACAGGUGAGGUAGCGAGUGGAGGCUGGUGGAGCUGCUCAGAGAGGACAUCAAAUUCCAGAGAGAGACAGAGGAGAGAAGAGAGCAGGAGAGCAAGUGUCCUGGGACAGGUGAACGAGUGAGUGGAAGCUGGUGGAGCUGCUCAGGGAGGACAUCAAAUUCCAGAGAGAGACAGAGGAGAGAAGAGAGCAGGAGAGCAAGUGUCCUGGGACAGGUGAACAAGUGAGUGGAAGCUGGUGGAGCUGCUCAGGGAGGACAUCAAACUCCAGAGAGAGACAGAGGAGAGAAGAGCACGGGAGAGCAGGGAGAGAAUGGAUUCUCUUCUUGAGAGAAUACUUAACAAAUACAUUAUAUAUUAGCCAUUCUUUAUUAGGCAAGAGAAAGUAGUGAAAAAAAAAUGGGUACAUUGCAGU
rnacentral:lncRNA from 12 species